rnacentral:lncRNA from 1 species
AUGGAUAAUUUUCACACUGACUUGCCAAUCUGCAAAACUACCAAAGAGGAAAUAUGUGGUUUACUCUUAGAAGCCAACGCAGUUCCCCUUGGUGGGUUUCCCUCUCAAUUCCCCUCAACUGGGUUUACCUCAAUUUCUGUGAUCCCGCCUUACCGAGGGACCCAAUCUGGGAGGCAAAGAACAGACAGAUACAUGGACCUGUGGUUCUCCCAUUAUCUGAAUCCUGUUCCUGAUGACACAGGUUGGAGCAAAGCCUGCAGUGAGACGAGCCAAAGGCACCAAGCUGGAUGUCCUAGCUGCUGCCUCUCCCUUUACACCACGGUGAAAGCUCUGCCUAUAUGUUUUUAG